UACGUAGGGUGCAAGCGUUAAUCGGAAUUACUGGGCGUAAAGCGUGCGCAGGCGGUUCGCUAAGACAGAUGUGAAAUCCCCGGGCUUAACCUGGGAACUGCAUUUGUGACUGGCGGGCUAGAGUAUGGCAGAGGGGGGUAGAAUUCCACGUGUAGCAGUGAAAUGCGUAGAGAUGUGGAGGAAUACCGAUGGCGAAGGCAGCCCCCUGGGCCCAAUACUGACGCUCAUGCACGAAAG
rnacentral:rRNA from 1 species